GGAGUUGUAGCUCAGUGGUAGAGCGCUUGCUUAGCAUGUGUAGGGGGGAACUGGGUUCGAUUCUCAGCACUGCCU
rnacentral:tRNA from 1 species